CGAAAGCCUGACGGAGCAACGCCGCGUGAGGGAGGAAGGUCUUUGGAUUGUAAACCUCUUUUCUCAGGGAAGAAAAAAAUGACGGUACCUGAGGAACAAGCAUCGGCUAACUCCGUGCCAGCAGCCGCGGUAAUACGGAGGAUGCAAGCGUUAUCCGGAAUGAUUGGGCGUAAAGGGUCCGCAGGUGGCAUUGUAAGUCUGCUGUUAAAGAGUCACGCUCAACGUGAUCAAGGCGGUGGAAACUACAAAGCUAGAGUGUGGUCGGGGCAGAAGGAAUUCCUGGUGUAGCGGUGAAAUGCGUAGAUAUCAGGAAGAACACCGGUGGCGAAGGCGUUCUGCUAGGCCAAGACUGACACUGAGGGACGAAAGCUAGGGGAGCGAAUGGGAUUAGAUACCCCAGUAGUCCUAGCCGUAAACGAUGGAUACUAGGUGUAGCUCGUAUCGACCCGAGCUGUACCGUAGCUAACGCGUUAAGUAUCCCGCCUGGGGAGUACGCAGGCAACUGUGAAACUCAAAGGAAUUGACGGGGGCCCGCACAAGCGGUGGAGUAUGUGGUUUAAUUCGAUGCAACGCGAAGAACCUUACCAAGACUUGACAUGUCACGAAUCCCGGCGAAAGUUGGGAGUGCCUUAGGGAGCGUGAACACAGGUGGUGCAUGGCUGUCGUCAGCUCGUG
rnacentral:rRNA from 1 species